rnacentral:rRNA from 1 species
AUGGCCAAGGCCGCACGCGUGGACGCAGCCGGCGAACUCCUGGACGACCUCCUGCUCCUCAUCUUCGAGCGCUUGCCGGGCGUCCAGGACCUCCUCCGCUGCGCAGCCACGUGCAAACAGUGGCUCUGCCUCAUCAAAGACUCGGUCUUCCUCCGACGCAUCGGCCUCUGGCCGGAGACGGCGCCCCACCCUUCGGUCCUCGUCGGCAUCUUCUACCAGAACGUGGUAGUGCCUAGCGCGAUUCAGCCCCUCAGAAGGAUACCCGAAUGUCCUCCCCAAUUCUUGAGCCUUCAGGCUGGGGGCGCCCAUCUGACGUUCGACUCCUUCGUCGCCAACGACGAUGGGCUCUUCAACUUUGCAUGGCCACUGGCAUCGCGCCGUGGUCUUCUCCUCGUGCACAUCAUGCUGCCUACCCCGGUCGACCACCAAGGCCACCGUCCGAAGCUCCUUCUUGCCGUGUGCCGCCCUCUGAUCGACAAGCGGCGCAGGCAUCUGCUCCCACCGCCUCCCUUCUUGGUAAGCCAUGGAUUCAUGAACGGGCACCGCCUAACUGGCUAUGCUCUUCUCACCGAUGAGGACCACCGUGCCAUUGAUGAUUUGGAUCAGCAACGACGACAACCGUCGUUUCAAGUCGUCUUGACUUACACAGGCGCCAACAGAGUCAUGUAUGCCUGUACGUACUCCUCUGCCACAGACAGUUGGAGCACUCCCAUCAGGUGCCACCAGGUUUCACACCUCGUCAGGUGUGGACCGUAUGCCGGCGUCGUCACCUGUGGCACCGUGCACUGGCUGUUCACAGACCAGAGAAGCUUCUACACACUCAAUGUAAGUGUCGCCACGGCACAUGUCUCAUCGACCAAGAUCCCCAUCAACGUCCGCGCUGGUGAGCAGCGGCGGCGAGUGCCGUUUCCAUGUGUCACUAGAGAAAGAAAGCUUUCUUUUGUGAGCAUUCGAGAUGAUGGUGUGCUAGAGCUUUGGGCCAAGCAAGGGCAUGAUGGCAAUGAUCAUGGCGGCGAGGCUGGUGCGGGAGGGUGGUUGCGCUCUGACCUGAUAAAUCUAGGAAGCGGUGAUAAAAUAAACCUCGUCUUCUUCGCAGAGAAAAGAGGUGCCAUGCUCGUCGAGCAGGGCGGUGCUUUCUUCACCAUUGAUCUCAAGAGUAAGGAAAAGGCGUUGGUCGAUCUCAAAGGUGAGGAAAAGAAGCAUGGCAGGGGCAUCUGCAGGUUUCCAAUGCAUCGCUGUAGUAGUAGUUGGUGUAGUGGAUUCCACUGCAGCUGGGGGAAGAUCAGUCCUUGCGCGUAUAACAAGCCUGUGCUGUACGAGGUGGAUUGGAUAAUUGAGGCAAGAUGA